GACGAACGCUGGCGGCGUGCCUAAUACAUGCAAGUAGAACGCUGAAGGAGGAGCUUGCUUCUCUGGAUGAGUUGCGAACGGGUGAGUAACGCGUAGGUAACCUGCCUGGUAGCGGGGGAUAACUAUUGGAAACGAUAGCUAAUACCGCAUAACAGUAGAUGUUGCAUGACAUUUGCUUAAAAGGUGCAAUUGCAUCACUACCAGAUGGACCUGCGUUGUAUUAGCUAGUUGGUGGGGUAACGGCUCACCAAGGCGACGAUACAUAGCCGACCUGAGAGGGUGAUCGGCCACACUGGGACUGAGACACGGCCCAGACUCCUACGGGAGGCAGCAGUAGGGAAUCUUCGGCAAUGGACGGAAGUCUGACCGAGCAACGCCGCGUGAGUGAAGAAGGUUUUCGGAUCGUAAAGCUCUGUUGUAAGAGAAGGACGAGUGUGAGAGUGGAAAGUUCACACU
rnacentral:rRNA from 1 species